rnacentral:rRNA from 1 species
AGAGUUUGAUCCUGGCUCAGAACGAACGCUGGCGGCAGGCCUAACACAUGCAAGUCGAGCGAGAUCUUCGGAUCUAGCGGCGGACGGGUGAGUAACGCGUGGGAACGUGCCCUUCUCUACGGAAUAGUCCCGGGAAACUGGGUUUAAUACCGUAUACGCCCUUCGGGGGAAAGAUUUAUCGGAGAAGGAUCGGCCCGCGUUGGAUUAGGUAGUUGGUGGGGUAAUGGCCUACCAAGCCGACGAUCCAUAGCUGGUUUGAGAGGAUGAUCAGCCACACUGGGACUGAGACACGGCCCAGACUCCUACGGGAGGCAGCAGUAGGGAAUUUUCCGCAAUGGGCGAAAGCCUGACGGAGCAAUACCGCGUGAGGGAUGACGGCCUGUGGGUUGUAAACCUCUUUUCUCAAGGAAGAAGUUCUGACGGUACUUGAGGAAUAAGCAUCGGCUAACUCUGUGCCAGCAGCCGCGGUAAUACAGAGGAUGCAAGCGUUAUCCGGAAUCACUGGGCAUAAAGCGUCUGUAGGUGGUUUAGUAAGUCUGCUGUUAAAGACUGGGGCUCAACCCCAGAAAAGCAGUGGAAACUGCUAGACUUGAGUGUGGUAGAGGUAGAGGGAAUUCCUAGUGUAGCGGUGAAAUGCGUAGAUAUUAGGAAGAACACCAAUGGCGAAGGCACUCUACUGGGCCAUAACUGACACUGAGAGACGACAGCUAGGGGAGCAAAUGGGAUUAGAUACCCCAGUAGUCCUAGCCGUAAACGAUGGAUACUAGAUGUUGCACGUAUUAACCCGUGCAGUAUCGUAGCUAAGGCGUUAAGUAUCCCGCCUGGGAAGUACGCUCGCAAGAGUGAAACUCAAAGGAAUUGACGG